UACGUAGGGGGCCAGCGUUGCUCGGAAUUACUGGGCGUAAAGGGCGCGUAGGCGGGAUGGCAAGUCGGUCGUGAAAUCCCUCGGCUCAACUGAGGAUCGUCGAUCGAUACUGCCGUUCUUGAGGAUUGCAGAGGAGACUGGAAUUCCCGGUGUAGCGGUGAAAUGUGUAGAGAUCGGGAGGAACACCGGUGGCGAAGGCGGGUCUCUGGGCAAUUCCUGACGCUGAGGCGCGAAAGCGUGGGGAGCAAACGGG
rnacentral:rRNA from 1 species